ACAAACGAAGCAUGGUCUGGAGAAUGUCUAACAGUCUCAGGCGGUGAUGUCCAUAUUGUUUGUUCUGGUCCUUGGUCGGCUGUCCUGUCAUGGAACCAAGGCGUUCCCCUCGACUGAGGCUCCUAGAGGCCUGUCAAAGAGGCCUCCUGAGGAUUUACACUGAAGCCUACAGAGGCCUUUCCUGCAUAAUAAACUCAAGACCUCUUUGGGGCCUCUACAGCAGAAUCUGAAAGUCUUGGAGGAAGUCAAACAAACCUGUGAUGAAACAGCAGCAGAAUGAAAGAUCAU